UACGUAGGGGGCAAGCGUUGUCCGGAAUCAUUGGGCGUAAAGCGCGUGUAGGCGGCUGAGUAAGUCUGCUCUGAAAGCCCGGGGCUCAACCCCGGGAGGCGGGUGGAUACUGCUCAGCUCGAGUCCGGAAGAGGAGUGUGGAAUUCCUGGUGUAGCGGUGAAAUGCGCAGAUAUCAGGAGGAACACCAAUUGCGAAGGCAGCUCGCUGGGACGUGACUGACGCUGAGACGCGAAAGCGUGGGGAGCAAACAGG
rnacentral:rRNA from 1 species